rnacentral:rRNA from 1 species
CCGGAAAAAGAAGAGUGGCGAACGGGUGAGUAACACGUGGGUAACCUGCCCAUCAGAAGGGGAUAACACUUGGAAACAGGUGCUAAUACCGUAUAACAAUCGAAACCGCAUGGUUUUGAUUUGAAAGGCGCUUUCGGGUGUCGCUGAUGGAUGGACCCGCGGUGCAUUAGCUAGUUGGUGAGGUAACGGCUCACCAAGGCCACGAUGCAUAGCCGACCUGAGAGGGUGAUCGGCCACAUUGGGACUGAGACACGGCCCAAACUCCUACGGGAGGCAGCAGUAGGGAAUCUUCGGCAAUGGACGAAAGUCUGACCGAGCAACGCCGCGUGAGUGAAGAAGGUUUUCGGAUCGUAAAACUCUGUUGUUAGAGAAGAACAAGGAUGAGAGUAACUGUUCAUCCCUUGACGGUAUCUAACCAGAAAGCCACGGCUAACUACGUGCCAGCAGCCGCGGUAAUACGUAGGUGGCAAGCGUUGUCCGGAUUUAUUGGGCGUAAAGCGAGCGCAGGCGGUUUCUUAAGUCUGAUGUGAAAGCCCCCGGCUCAACCGGGGAGGGUCAUUGGAAACU